rnacentral:rRNA from 1 species
AGAGUUUGAUCCUGGCUCAGAUUGAACGCUGGCGGCGUGCCUAACACAUGCAAGUCGAGCGCGUUUCGAAAGCUUGCUUUCGGAAUGAGCGGCGCACGGGUGAGUAACACGUGGAUAAUCUACCCAUCAGCUCGGGAUAACAGUUGGAAACGACUGCUAAUACCGUAUACGAUCUUUUUUUACGAUUAGGUGAAAGGGGGCCUCUGCAUAUGCUCUCGCUGAUGGAUGAGUCCGCGCCUCAUUAGGUAGUUGGUAGGGUAACGGCCUACCAAGCCGACGAUGAGUAGCCGGCCUGAGAGGGUAAUCGGCCACACUGGGACUGGAACACGGCCCAGACUCCUACGGGAGGCAGCAGUGGGGAAUAUUGCGCAAUGGGCGAAAGCCUGACGCAGCGACGCCGCGUGAGGGAUGAAGGCCUUCGGGUCGUAAACCUCUGUCAGGAGGGAAGAACGGCGCAGGUGCUAAUCAGCCUGCGAUUGACGGUACCUCCAAAGGAAGCACCGGCUAACUCCGUGCCAGCAGCCGCGGUAAUACGGAGGGUGCAAGCGUUAAUCGGAAUCACUGGGCGUAAAGCGCGCGUAGGCGGCAUUGUAAGUCAGGGGUGAAAUCCCACGGCCCACCCGUGGAACUGCCUUUGAUACUGCAUUGCUUGAGUGAGUGAGAGGAUAGUGGAAUUCCUGGUGUAGGAGUGAAAUCCGUAGAGAUCAGGAGGAACAUCAGUGGCGAAGGCGACUAUCUGGCACUAUACUGACGCUGAGGUGCGAAAGCAUGGGGAGCAAACAGGAUUAGAUACCCUGGUAGUCCAUGCUGUAAACGAUGGAUACUAGGUGCUGGGGGCUUGACCCUCGGUGCCGUAGCUAACGCGUUAAGUAUCCCGCCUGGGGAGUACGGUCGCAAGGCUGAAACUCAAAGAAAUUGACGGGGGCCCGCACAAGCGGUGGAGUAUGUGGUUUAAUUCGAUGCAACGCGA